AUUGAACGCUGGCGGCAGGCCUAACACAUGCAAGUCGAGCGAGCGGCGGACGGGUGAGUAAUGCCUGGGAAUUGCCCAGUCGAGGGGGAUAACAGUUGGAAACGACUGCUAAUACCGCAUACGAUUGGAUUGCCCAGGUGGGAUUAGCUAGUUGGUGAGGUAAUGGCUCACCAAGGCGACGAUCCCUAGAUGGUCUGAGAGGAUGAUCGGCCACACUGGAACUGAGACACGGUCCAGACGCGUACGUGAGGCAGCAGUGGGGAAUAUUGCGCAAUGGGGGAAACCCUGAUGCAGCAACGCCGCGUGUGUGAAGAAGGGUUUCGGGUUGUAAAGCACUUUUAUCGAGGAGGCGUUACUCGCACAAGAAGCACCGGCUAACUCCGUGCCAGCAGCCGCGGUAAUAC
rnacentral:rRNA from 1 species